GUGAUAUACAAUAUGGCGAAACACAAUAUCCAUAUCAAAUUUGCCAUUGCAAAGUCUAUGACAUCUGGGCUGAAUCAAGGAGAGUUGGCUUCAAAGUUAAAUUUCAAUUAUUUUAUUUUUGAUAAAAUCACAUAUACCAAGAUGCCAUAUCAAUAUCAUGAUGUUUAGAUAUUAGUAAUAAAUAUUUGCUCAACACCAAAGGAAACAAUAUUUAUUAAAAUCUUCAAUUAUUUUAUUUUUGAUGUGUAAACUUUCAUUAGAGCCUAUGACAUCUGGACUGAAUCAAGGAGAGUUGGCUUCAAAAAAUACCAAGUUAUCAAUUCUAAUUCUGAUUUGCCAGACAGGACAACACUAAGCCCGACUGCUAUUAAUAAUGUUUACCUAUCAAUGAAAGCACAUGUACAAUAAGAAAUUAACUCAAAGGCCAAAAUUUUGAUCAAUUACAUUCUAUAUGUGGACAGAUCAAUACAGAAGAAGAAACUAUACAACUCAUUAUAUAACCCCAAAACACACAGGUGAGACUAUUCCAAUUGAGAUUGAUAAAAUAGAAGAGGAAUUUAAUUUAAAAAAGAAAAAAUACAAAUGGUCACUGAUGCUGGGUCUAAUGUUAGAAAGGGUGUUUGAUUAGGUGAAUAUGAACACCGCUUAUGUUUGGGUCAUGGUUUACACA